CUAAUAUAAGAGAGCGCUGGCUACCAUAUUCGUGAUGUCCAUGGCCGCGACCCACCAUGCUUCUCCUACCUAGCUCCGCCGAGCUCCGGCCUCGUCAGGUCGUCGUCUACACGCCGCCGGCCUCUCUGCGCGCUACCAUAUGCUAGCUUGCCCGCCGCCGCUGCCCAGCCGCUGCUCAUGCUCGGCAGCCACCACAUGCAUAUGGUAGCACGCUAGACAGAGUGCAUAGUGGAUUCGAUGAGGCAUAGAGGGCAGUGACACUGAUCAAGUGAUCCUAGCCUCACAACAAACUGCCUCUCUUCAUGCAUCAUCAUACAAGUGUCAUUAUCCGGUCACAUAUCCUUUUGCAGAUGCAGGCUGGAGGGGCCUUUGUUUUAUUUUAAUAUAAAAUGGAGGGGGCGCCUUCGUUGAUGUACGUGUGCCAAUCUGCUUCAUUGUGUCACCAUGCAUGUCUUGUUCAUGUCUCCUUGCUCAUCACCUCGACAGUGGAACGCGGUCAAGUCUUGGUACCACGUCCCCCAUGCUGUCGUGUUUGCGAUUAGCUGCACAAUGCACGAACGCUUCAGCAGUUAAAUUCAUAGAAUGCAUGAUUAAACAAAAGGUGUGUUUCAGACUGUAAUAAUAAUUCCAGGAUAUGUUGGACUGUUUUUUUGUUAUUUUUUAGAAUUAUAUGUUCGACUGUUGAACUCCAGAGCUCUAAGUAAUGAUUAUGAGACAUCGGUUGCUGUUACCGUAAAUAUGGACACGUUUGGUAUC